UACGUAGGGGGCUAGCGUUGUCCGGAAUCAUUGGGCGUAAAGCGCGUGUGAGGCGGUCCGGUAAGUCCGCUGUGAAACGGGGGCUCAACCCGUCGAUGACCGGUGGAGUACUGUCGGGCUAGAGUGCGGAAGAGGCGGAGUGGAAUUCCUGGUGUAGCGGUGAAAUGACGCAGAUAUCAGGAGGAACACCAAUUGCGAAGGCAGCUCGCUGGGACGUUACUGACGCUGAGACGCGAAAGCGUGGGGAGCAAACAGG
rnacentral:rRNA from 1 species